CGGGGCGUAGCGCAGCCUGGUAGCGCGCUUGCUUUGGGAGCAAGAUGUCGAGUGUUCGAAUCACUCCGCCCCGACCA
rnacentral:tRNA from 1 species